GAUGAACGCUGGCGGCGUGCCUAAUACAUGCAAGUCGAGCGAACAGAUAAGGAGCUUGCUCCUUUGACGUUAGCGGCGGACGGGUGUGUAACACGUGUAUAACCUACCUGUAAGACGGGGAUAACUUCGAGAAACCGGAGCUAAUACCGGAUAAUAUUUCGAACCGCGUGGUUCGAUAGUGAGAUAUGGCUGUGCUAUCACUUAUAGAUGGACCCGCGCCGUAUUAGGUGGUUGGUAAGUUAACGGCUUACCAAGGCGACGAUACGUAGCCGACGGCAGAGAGGGAUCGGCCGCACUAGAACGGAGACAGGGUCCAGGCUCCUAAGGGAGGGCGCAGUAGGGAACGUUACGCAAUGGGCGAAAGUAUGACGGAGUAACGCGAAGUGAGUGGUGACGGUCUUGGGAUCGUAAAACUGUGUUAUGAGGGAAGAACAUACGUGUAAGGAACUGUGGCCGUCUUGACGGUACUUAAUAAGAAAGCCACGGCUAACUACGUG
rnacentral:rRNA from 1 species